UCGUUCCGAAUCGUUUCGUUAUGCGUAAUCCACGUAAUCGUAUGUCGUCGUAAGAAUCAAAAUAUAUAUUCGUAAUAAUACUAUUGCCAGAAGCCGAUCCUUGGACUGAAGUGCCUUAAACCGAUCCUUGGACUGAAGUGCCUUAAGGU